CAAAAGCCUGUAAGCAUUUUUCAUGUAUAGAUGUGUCCAAAUUGAGACCAAGGGGUUUGCACACUGAUGCUCGGCCUUUGCAUUUUAGAGUUCCAUGCAUAGGUGCUCUCUUAGAAAAACAACUGUCUAGUCAGCAUUUUUACACUUAUCAGGAUUCUCUUUAUAAUAAUAUAACUUCUGACACGUUAAUUAAGUGUAUGAUUAUUUCCAGGUUUAUGUGACAAUAUUAGAGAAUGAUCAAUGUAGUAUCUGACCUGUGGUCCUCACUGUUUACCUAAAUUACUGCACAUACAUUGUGUGUCAAGUUCGCACAGACAUGCUAACAAUCCAGGAAAGUGGCUGGAACAAGCGAAAGGCAGAAAACCUUGACCGGACACUGGCCAAAAGAUACAUCAAGACUGUACAAAGGAUUGCAGAGGCAACAAAGGACCUGGAGAAACUCACAGCUGAGUUAUCUCUACAGCAAGACACAGUCCAGCAGUGGGUGUCUGAUGUUCAGCAGUGGACCUCAGGAGCAACAAUCCAAAAUGACCUGCAGAGGACCAUCGAGGGGCUAUAUUUGGGCAUCAAACAGUGAAAAUUUCAGCUGUAUCGUCAGUCUGGUGGGAACAAGCGAAGGCAUCAACUGGGCAGAAAGAUUGCUGUUGAGAAGAAAGCCUUGGAAGUUGCCAUCAAUGA